rnacentral:tmRNA from 1 species
GGGGGUGUACUGGUUUCGACGUUGAGUGUUGAAGCGACGGAAGCGAGCCGAGGUACUCCGGAGUCCUCGUUAAAAGCCGGAAACAACCACAAGUGCCGAAGACGACUUCGCACUGGCUGCCUGAUCAAUAGUCAGUAGUAGCCCGUCCGCCCGGUGGGAACCUGCCUCGCCGGAUCCGGGCGUCGCAAAGCAGGAUGCUCUCGUAGGGAUCGGGACUACGGGCUAAGACGAUUCCGAUGUAGGUCUCGGGGUUUUUCUGCCAUCGGCAUCCCCGGAUCGAAUGCUCGCUGAUGGCUGCGCUCGGAGAUGCCGGCGUGGAAGGCUCAACGGACCGGGGUUCGACUCCCCGCACCUCCACCA